rnacentral:rRNA from 1 species
GAGCACUGUUUCGGCUAGGGGGCCAUCCCGGCUUACCAACCCGAUGCAAACUGCGAAUACCGGAGAAUGUUAUCACGGGAGACACACGGCGGGUGCUAACGUCCGUCGUGAAGAGGGAAACAACCCAGACCGCCAGCUAAGGUCCCAAAGUCAUGGUUAAGUGGGAAACGAUGUGGGAAGGCCCAGACAGCCAGGAUGUUGGCUUAGAAGCAGCCAUCAUUUAAAGAAAGCGUAAUAGCUCACUGGUCGAGUCGGCCUGCGCGGAAGAUGUAACGGGGCUAAACCAUGCACCGAAGCUGCGGCAGCGAACGUAUCACUUAAAGCGAUUCAGCGGGUUACGAUUGACGGAGCGAAGCGACGUCAAAGCGUAUACAAAGUCGAGUCGGUUUAAGGAUACGUUCGUUGGGUAGGGGAGCGUUCUGUAAGCCUGUGAAGGUGGCCUGUGAGGGUUGCUGGAGGUAUCAGAAGUGCGAAUGCUGACAUAAGUAACGAUAAAGCGGGUGAAAAGCCCGCUCGCCGGAAGACCAAGGGUUCCUGUCCAACGUUAAUCGGGGCAGGGUGAGUCGACCCCUAAGGCGAGGCCGAAAGGCGUAGUCGAUGGGAAACAGGUUAAUAUUCCUGUACUUGGUGUUACUGCGAAGGGGGGACGGAGAAGGCUAUGUUGGCCGGGCGACGGUUGUCCCGGUUUAAGCGUGUAGGCUGGUUUUCCAGGCAAAUCCGGAAAAUCAAGGCUGAGGCGUGAUGACGAGGCACUACGGUGCUGAAGCAACAAAUGCCCUGCUUCCAGGAAAAGCCUCUAAGCAUCAGGUAACAUCAAAUCGUACCCCAAACCGACACAGGUGGUCAGGUAGAGAAUACCAAGGCGCUUGAGAGAACUCGGGUGAAGGAACUAGGCAAAAUGGUGCCGUAACUUCGGGAGAAGGCACGCUGACACGUAGGUGAAGUGAUUUACUCACGGAGCUGAAGUCAGUCGAAGAUACCAGCUGGCUGCAACUGUUUAUUAAAAACACAGCACUGUGCAAACACGAAAGUGGACGUAUACGGUGUGACGCCUGCCCGGUGCCGGAAGGUUAAUUGAUGGGGUCAGCGCAAGCGAAGCUCCUGAUCGAAGCCCCGGUAAACGGCGGCCGUAACUAUAACGGUCCUAAGGUAGCGAAAUUCCUUGUCGGGUAAGUUCCGACCUGCACGAAUGGCGUAAUGAUGGCCAGGCUGUCUCCACCCGAGACUCAGUGAAAUUGAACUCGCUGUGAAGAUGCAGUGUACCCGCGGCAAGACGGAAAGACCCCGUGAACCUUUACUAUAGCUUGACACUGAACAUUGAGCCUUGAUGUGUAGGAUAGGUGGGAGGCUUUGAAGCGUGGACGCCAGUCUGCGUGGAGCCGACCUUGAAAUACCACCCUUUAAUGUUUGAUGUUCUAACGUGGACCCGUAAUCCGGGUUGCGGACAGUGUCUGGUGGGUAGUUUGACUGGGGCGGUCUCCUCCUAAAGAGUAACGGAGGAGCACGAAGGUUGGCUAAUCCUGGUCGGACAUCAGGAGGUUAGUGCAAUGGCAUAAGCCAGCUUGACUGCGAGCGUGACGGCGCGAGCAGGUGCGAAAGCAGGUCAUAGUGAUCCGGUGGUUCUGAAUGGAAGGGCCAUCGCUCAACGGAUAAAAGGUACUCCGGGGAUAACAGGCUGAUACCGCCCAAGAGUUCAUAUCGACGGCGGUGUUUGGCACCUCGAUGUCGGCUCAUCACAUCCUGGGGCUGAAGUAGGUCCCAAGGGUAUGGCUGUUCGCCAUUUAAAGUGGUACGCGAGCUGGGUUUAGAACGUCGUGAGACAGUUCGGUCCCUAUCUGCCGUGGGCGCUGGAGAACUGAGGGGGGCUGCUCCUAGUACGAGAGGACCGGAGUGGACGCAUCACUGGUGUUCGGGUUGUCAUGCCAAUGGCACUGCCCGGUAGCUAAAUGCGGAAGAGAUAAGUGCUGAAAGCAUCUAAGCACGAAACUUGCCCCGA